rnacentral:rRNA from 1 species
GCUUUAUAUUUGUCUUUAUUUUAAUUUAUUUGGUAGGAGUGUAAUUUUGUAGGGAGAAUAUUUCGUUGGGGUGACGGGAAGAUAAGAUAAACUCUUCUUAAAAUAAAACACGAAUGCGUGAUUUAGUUGAUCCAUUAUUAAUGAUUAAAAGACUAAGU